GUGGUGGGGAAAUGCCUCACCUAUGAGGAGGGAAAAGGGUGCUCCCAGAACAAUCUUCUGGAUGGGAGUGUUCUUGGCAUGAAUGCAAAUAAUAAAGAGGUCAGAGAGGCUGGAGAAAAGUGAAUGAGUGGGAGAGUGGAAGGAGAUGAGAUCAGAGAAGUAGUGUGUAUGUGUUUGUGUCCCUGUUAGGACAUUAUUUUCUGAGGAUGAAGUUGUGAG
rnacentral:lncRNA from 1 species